GGAGACUGGUGGAAUGCUACAACGUUGAUCGCUUUCUGGAAGACUUGGAAUAUUCCUUUCCAAAAAUGGAUCAACAGGCAUGUCUACAC